rnacentral:lncRNA from 1 species
GACUGAAAGUUCAUGUCAAGAUAGCAACAACGGUGAGAAAAGUUGUGGGAAGAGAAAAAGAGUUUCGACCAAAACCCCCGGUCAACCCCGGCCGCCGUCCGCCUCCAAAUACAGAGGCGUCCGGCAGCGGAAAUGGGGUAAAUGGGCGGCGGAAAUUCGUGACCCGUUUAAGCAACGCCGGGUAUGGCUUGGAACUUAUGAUACUGCUGAAGAAGCGUCCAGAGCUUAUGAAGUCAAAAAACUCGAGUUUGAAGCCAUGGCUGAAGCUUCAAAGGGUGGUUCCAACAUCGUCAAAAGCACGCCUCCAAAUACAGAGGCGUCCGGCAGCGGAAAUGGGGUAAAUGGGCGGCGGAAAUUCGUGACCCGUUUAAGCAACGCCGGGUAUGGCUUGGAACUUAUGAUACUGCUGAAGAAGCGUCCAGAGCUUAUGAAGUCAAAAAACUCGAG